AAAGAAACCCCAAAUCGCUGCUGACCUGCUGUUGUUGUUCGAGUCCGAGGGCAGGGGUCUUGAACUUGCUCGAUUUCUUCACGAAUCACGGCUCAUCCUCAGGUUGAAAUUGGGGGUGAAUUUUAGCCCUAAACUUGUUGAAAUUGUCAAUCUUCGACGAAUUCUUCUUGAAUCUUCAUAAGAUUAUGCUAUGGGAUUGACCGGCUGCUGCUGUGCCUGCUCUUGUUCGACUGCAAGCUGCUGCGCUACUUGUUGUGGUCUUGUUUGACUUCUUCAAUCUUCAUAAGGUUAAAGGUAUGUGUUUUUCUAUCUUUAGGUUUAAUUUAGGGCUACAAUUUAUGUGAUUUAGGUUGAAAUUAGGGGAGAAUUUUAACCCUAAACUUGUUGAAAUUAGGGGUAGAACUAUAAUUCUUCAGGCAGAAAUUAGGGCAGAACUGAAUUUUAGCCCUAAACUUGUUGAAAUUAGAGGUGAAUUUUAGCCCUAAACUUGUGAUUUAGGUAGAAAUUAGGGGCAGAACUGAAAUUAGGGCUGCAAUUUAUGUGAUUUAGGUUGAAAUUAGGGACAGAACUAUAAUUCUUCAUCCAAGUGAACCGGGUACCCCACCUU